GGGUUGUGAGGUUAAGCGACUAAGCGUACACGGUGGAUGCCCUGGCAGUCAGAGGCGAUGAAGGACGUGCUAAUCUGCGAUAAGCGCCGGUAAGGUGAUAUGAACCGUUAUAACCGGCGAUUUCCGAAUGGGGAAACCCAGUGUGAUUCGUCACACUAUCAUUAACUGAAUCCAUAGGUUAAUGAGGCGAACCGGGGGAACUGAAACAUCUAAGUACCCCGAGGAAAAGAAAUCAACCGAGAUUCCCCCAGUAGCGGCGAGCGAACGGGGAGGAGCCCAGAGCCUGAAUCAGCAUGUGUGUUAGUGGAAGCGUCUGGAAAGGCGCGCGAUACAGGGUGACAGCCCCGUACACAAAAGCGCAUGUGCUGUGAGCUCGAUGAGUAGGGCGGGACACGUGGUAUCCUGUCUGAAUAUGGGGGGACCAUCCUCCAAGGCUAAAUACUCCUGACUGACCGAUAGUGAACCAGUACCGUGAGGGAAAGGCGAAAAGAACCCCGGCGAGGGGAGUGAAAAAGAACCUGAAACCGUGUACGUACAAGCAGUGGGAGCACAGGUUUACCUGUGUGACUGCGUACCUUUUGUAUAAUGGGUCAGCGACUUAUAUUCUGUAGCAAGGUUAACCGAAUAGGGGAGCCGGAGGGAAACCGAGUCUUAACCGGGCGUUAAGUUGCAGGGUAUAGACCCGAAACCCGGUGAUCUAGCCAUGGGCAGGUUGAAGGUUGGGUAACACUAACUGGAGGACCGAACCGACUAAUGUUGAAAAAUUAGCGGAUGACCUGUGGCUGGGGGUGAAAGGCCAAUCAAACCGGGAGAUAGCUGGUUCUCCCCGAAAGCUAUUUAGGUAGCGCCUCGUGAA
rnacentral:rRNA from 2 species